rnacentral:rRNA from 1 species
AAGAUUUUAAUUGAAUGCUAAAAGAAUGGAAAUUUAAAAAAAAACUUUUUUAAAAAUAAAAAUUGAAUUUUUUUUAAUUUGUGCAAAAACAAUUAUUAUUAUUAAAGACAAGAAGACCCUAAGAAUUUAUGAUUUUGCAAUUAAAAUUUUUUUCAAAAAAUCUUGAUUGGGGCGAUCAAAAAAUAUUAAUAACUUUUUAAAUUUAAAUUGAUCUAUUAUUAAUAAACUAAUGAAUUAAAUACUCUAGCGAUAACAGCCAAAUAAUUUUUGAUAGAUCUUAUUGACAAAAUAGUUUGCGACCUCGAUGUUGGAUUAGGAUCCUUUUUUAAUGAAAAAGUUAAAAAAAGAAGUUUGUUCAACUUUUAAAUUCCUACUU